rnacentral:tRNA from 1 species
UUUUUUUGUAGCUUAUGAUAAAGCAAAGAGCUUUUAACUCUUGGAAGCAGAGAAGUUUGCCAAAGAUAU